rnacentral:rRNA from 1 species
CCUACGGGAGGCAGCAGUGGGGAAUAUUGCACAAUGGGCGCAAGCCUGAUGCAGCGACGCCGCGUGAGGGAUGGAGGCCUUCGGGUUGUAAACCUCUUUUAUCGGGGAGCAAGCGAGAGUGAGUUUACCCGUUGAAUAAGCACCGGCUAACUACGUGCCAGCAGCCGCGGUAAU